rnacentral:misc_RNA from 1 species
AACCAUUCUCACCUGCGGCUAGACCUGCGGAAGGAUCAUUACCGAGUUUACAAACUCCCAACCCUUUGUGAACCUUACCAUAUUGUUGCUUCGGCGGGACCGCCCCGGCGCCUUCGGGCCCGGAACCAGGCGCCCGCCGGAGGCCCCAAACUCUUAUGUCUUUAGUGGUUUUCUCCUCUGAGUGACACAUAAACAAAUAAAUAAAAACUUUCAACAACGGAUCUCAGAUCGGAAGAGCAC